rnacentral:rRNA from 1 species
UACGGGGGGAGCAAGCGUUGUUCGGAUUUACUGGGCGUAAAGGGCGCGUAGGCGGUCAGCACAAGUCAGUUGUGAAAUCUCCGGGCUUAACUCGGAAAGGUCAACCGAUACUGUGCGACUAGAGUGCGGAAGGGGCAACUGGAAUUCUCGGUGUAGCGGUGAAAUGCGUAGAUAUCGAGAGGAACACCUGCGGCGAAGGCGGGUUGCUGGGCCGACACUGACGCUGAUGCGCGAAAGCCAGGGGAGCGAACGGG